AGUAAGCAGCAUUUUACCCAUGGUCGCCAGUCUGUUAUGAGGAAUGGUAGAGUAGGUUUGUGUUUGUGUCUGUUGCAAGAGAUAGGAUAUAUUUGAGCACAAUUGUUUCCAGGACCCGAUCUCAGCGACAACUGGAUGAACUUGGUGGAUCCAUUCGCCUUACGAUGGUCUACUUCCAAUCUACACACAAGAUAAGAAGCAUUGCCGAAUUUCUUGUAUAAAGUUUUAUACAGACGGUAAUACCAACAUGGCGGACUAACCUGUGGGGUGGAAUCGACACUACCUUACUUGCAGUAAGGCCAUGCAGUGAUGUGUGGUGAAAUAUUUACUGAAAAUACAGAACUUACAACAUGACGGCUCCAUAAAAGAAAAUAAUCCUCACUUGUCCCGGAUUCGAUCCGGAUUUGUAUAGUUGGAAACUGAAGUUGUCUAAGUUAAGACAACUUACGUAAUCUUUUAUUGAUAAUUCAGAAUUUGCGAAGAACACGUGUGUAUAUUCCGGUACUAAUUACACCAUUCCAGUACUAUUUGGACGAGCAUCUGCUUCAGGAGUAAGUUAAGUGGAUAAAUAUCGUCAACAAAUUUCCACUUUUCCUAUUACUGGUGUAUAUACGAGGCGCGUCCUCAAAGUAAGUUUCCCUGGGGUCGUUUACAGAAACAAAACACAAUUUCAUGGAAAUAUUUAUUGCAACAGAUACAGCAAGU